GCUGGGAUAGCUCAGUUGGUAGAGCAUGAGAUUCUUAACCCCAGGGUCAUGGGUUCACGCCCCACAUUGGGCA